GACGAACGCUGGCGGCGUGCCUAAUACAUGCAAGUGGGACGCAAGGAAACACACUGUGCUUGCACACCGUGUUUUCUUGAGUCGCGAACGGGUGAGUAACGCGUAGGUAACCUGCCUAUUAGCGGGGGAUAACUAUUGGAAACGAUAGCUAAUACCGCAUAAUAUUAAUUAUUGCAUGAUAAUUGAUUGAAAGAUGCAAGCGCAUCACUAGUAGAUGGACCUGCGUUGUAUUAGCUAGUUGGUAAGGUAAGAGCUUACCAAGGCGACGAUACAUAGCCGACCUGAGAGGGUGAGCGGCCACACUGGGACUGAGACACGGCCCAGACUCCUACGGGAGGCAGCAGUAGGGAAUCUUCGGCAAUGGACGAAAGUCUGACCGAGCAACGCCGCGUGAGUGAAGAAGGGUUUCGGAUCGUAAAGCUCUGUUGUAAGUCAAGAACGUGUGUGAGAGUGGAAAGUUCACACAGUGACGGUAGCUUACCAGAAAGGGACGGCUAACUACGUG
rnacentral:rRNA from 1 species